UACGUAGGGCGCAAGCGUUGUCCGGAAUUAUUGGGCGUAAAGAGCUCGUAGGCGGUUUGUCGCGUCUGCUGUGAAAAACCCGAGGCUCAACCUCGGGCCUGCAGUGGGUACGGGCAGACUAGAGUGCGGUAGGGGGAGAUUGGAAUUCCUGGUGUAGCGGUGGAAUGCGCAGAUAUCAGGAGGAACACCAAUGGCGAAGGCAGAUCUCUGGGCCGUAACUGACGCUGAGGAGCGAAAGCAUGGGGAGCGAACAGG
rnacentral:rRNA from 1 species